rnacentral:rRNA from 1 species
GACGAACGCUGGCGGCGUGCUUAACACAUGCAAGUCGAGCGGUAAGGCCCUUUCGGGGGUACACGAGCGGCGAACGGGUGAGUAACACGUGGGUGACCUGCCCUCAGCUCUGGGAUAAGCCUGGGAAACUGGGUCUAAUACCGGAUAUGACUCCAUGACGCAUGUUGUGGGGUGGAAAGCCUUGUGCGGCUGAGGAUGGGCCCGCGGCCUAUCAGCUUGUUGGUGGGGUGANGGCCUACCAAGGCGACGACGGGUAGCCGGCCUGAGAGGGCGACCGGCCACACUGGGACUGAGACACGGCCCAGACUCCUACGGGAGGCAGCAGUGGGGAAUCUUGCGCAAUGGGCGAAAGCCUGACGCAGCGACGCCGCGUGAGGGAUGACGGCCUCGG